AUAUUGAAUGAAGAUAUUUGUGAUUUUCAUGUGAACUUAUGAAAUGGUUUUCUACCCCUUGUGGUAGCUUGUUUUUAAACGAAAAGGUUUCCGUGUGGGAAACGGUUUUAAAAAAAAAUUUUCGGUUUUUGUGAUUCUAAUAUUUCCAAAUGAGUUUCCGGGUGGGAAACAUUUUCAAAUGAUUGAUGCGCAUGUUUGAAAGUAAAUCGUGAUUAUGUGAUGUGGUGAUUGUAUAUAUGGUUUGUGAAUGAUUGUGGUUGUAAUUUGUACAUGUGCAAUAUCGUGCAAUUACAGGGGAGACUCUGUCCGCGUGAACAAAGGGUUCUCUAUAUUUGUGGCGGAUCUGUCAUCCCCUGGGGUCAAGAUUUUCAAAAAAAAAAAGGGCACUUCCGCUAUUCUUUUUGCCGAAAGAGGACCCCAGACCCCUGACAUCCAUUCGACAAAUUUUUACUGAACGACGCCAUGGGACCACAAUUAAACUCCGCAAUAGCUCCCGAACCUUUGACGAU
rnacentral:lncRNA from 1 species